AACGUAGGAGACAAACGUUAUCCGGAGUUACUGGGCGUAAAGGGCGUGUAGGUGGUUUCGUAAGUCUGGCGUGAAAUUUUUCGGCUUAACUGGGAAAGGUCGUCGGAUACUGCGGAGCUAGAGGACGGUAGAGGCGUGUGGAAUUCCGGGUGUAGUGGUGAAAUGCGUAGAUAUCGAGAGGAACACCUGCGGCGAAGGCGGGUAGCUGGGCCGACACUGACGCUGAUGCGCGAAAGCCAGGGGAGCGAACGGG
rnacentral:rRNA from 1 species